ACUAGGGAUAGUGAGCAAAUACUAGUCUAAUCUAGGAGAGAACCAUUGGAAGAUCGUAAAAAUCAUCCUUAUGUAUUUGAGAAAUAUUAAGGACCAGUAGCUUGUAUAUGGUGAAACUAACUUGAAACUAGUGGGAUUUAGUGACUCCAGCUUUCAACAGACCAUGAUAUAGUAAGAGUGUGUCCGAUUAUAUUUUUACCCUGAAUGGUGGAGCGAUCUGUUGAAAAACUUUCAAGCAGCACAUU
rnacentral:lncRNA from 1 species